rnacentral:rRNA from 1 species
GACGAACGCUGGCGGCGUGCUUAACACAUGCAAGUCGAACGGUGAAGCGCCUUCCUUUUUGGUGGGUGUGGAUGAGUGGCGAACGGGUGAGUAACACGUGAGUAACCUGCCCCCUUCUUCUGGAUAACCGCAUGAAAGUGUGGCUAAUACGGGAUAUUCUGGGUCUGUCGCAUGAUGGGUCUGGGAAAGAUAUUGUUUCGGUGGGGGAUGGGCUCGGGGCCUAUCAGCUUGUUGGUGGGGUGAUGGCCUACCAAGGCGGUGACGGGUAGCCGGCCUGAGAGGGUGGACGGUCACACUGGGACUGAGACACGGCCCAGACUCCUACGGGAGGCAGCAGUGGGGAAUAUUGCACAAUGGGCGCAAGCCUGAUGCAGCGACGCCGCGUGAGGGAUGGAGGCCUGCGGGUUGUGAACCUCUUUCGCCAGUGAAGCAGGCCUGCCUCGUUUGUGGGUGGGUUGACGGUAGCUGGAGAAGAAGCGCCGGCUAACUACGUG